rnacentral:rRNA from 1 species
UACGUAGGGGGCAAGCGUUGUCCGGAUUUAUUGGGCGUAAAGAGCUCGUAGGUGGUUUGGUAAGUCGGAUGUGAAAUCUCCAGGCUCAACCUGGAGGGGUCAUUCGAUACUGCCAUGACUAGAGGUCGGUAGGGGAGUGUGGAAUUCCUGGUGGAGCGGUGAAAUGCGUAGAUAUCUGGAGGAACACCGGUGGCGAAGGCGGCAUCCUGGACCGAUAUUGACGCUGAUGCGCGAAAGCCAGGGGAGCAAACAGG